rnacentral:rRNA from 1 species
UACGUAGGGUGCAAGCGUUAAUCGGAAUUACUGGGCGUAAAGCGUGCGCAGGCGGUGAUGUAAGACAGGUGUGAAAUCCCCGGGCUUAACCUGGGAACUGCAUUUGUGACUGCAUCGCUGGAGUGCGGCAGAGGGGGGUGGAAUUCCGCGUGUAGCAGUGAAAUGCGUAGAUAUGCGGAGGAACACCGAUGGCGAAGGCAAUCCCCUGGGCCUGCACUGACGCUCAUGCACGAAAGCGUGGGGAGCAAACAGG